rnacentral:lncRNA from 1 species
GUUUAAACUUACACGAAUCGCUCUCUUGAGGAGGAGGGAACCGCCGCGCGAUUGACACGCAUAUUCCUAUAGGCAUCCUCCCUCAGCCCCCACCCCCACGGCCGGAUUCGGGUGGCUCCUCUCCGAGCUGAAAUCCGAGAAGAAAUCUCCUUGGAUCUCUUGUUAAAAAAAAAAAAAAAAAAAAAAUCCAGAAACCGUCGGUAUUUUGCUUUCCUGCUUCCUUUUCGCAUGAUGAAGAAGUUUUUCGACUCCAGGCGAGAGCAGGGUGGCUCUGGCCUGGGCUCCGGCUCCAGCGGAGGAGGGGGCAGCACCUCGGGCCUGGGCAGCGGCUACAUCGGACGGGUCUUUGGCAUUGGGCGACAGCAGGUCACUGUGGACGAGGUGCUGGCGGAAGGUGGAUUUGCCAUCGUGUUUCUGGUGAGGACAAGCAAUGGAAUGAAAUGUGCCUUGAAACGCAUGUUUGUCAACAACGAGCAUGAUCUCCAGGUGUGCAAGAGAGAAAUCCAGAUAAUGAGGGACCUGUCGGGGCAUAAGAACAUCGUGGGUUACAUUGACUCCAGUAUCAACAGUGUGAGUAGCGGUGAUGUGUGGGAAGUUCUCAUCCUGAUGGACUUCUGCAGGGGAGGCCAAGUGGUCAACCUGAUGAACCAGCGCCUGCAAACAGGUUUUACAGAAAAUGAAGUACUCCAGAUAUUUUGUGACACCUGUGAAGCUGUCGCCCGCCUGCAUCAGUGCAAAACUCCUAUUAUCCACCGUGACUUGAAGGUUGAGAAUAUUCUCUUGCAUGACCGAGGCCACUAUGUCCUGUGUGACUUUGGAAGUGCUACCAACAAAUUCCAGAACCCACAAACGGAAGGAGUCAAUGCAGUAGAAGAUGAGAUUAAGAAGUACACAACGCUGUCCUAUCGCGCACCAGAGAUGGUCAACCUGUAUAGUGGCAAGGUCAUCACGACGAAGGCAGACAUUUGGGCUCUCGGAUGUUUGUUGUAUAAAUUAUGUUACUUCACUUUGCCAUUUGGGGAGAGUCAAGUGGCAAUUUGUGAUGGAAACUUCACAAUUCCUGAUAACUCUCGAUAUUCCCAAGACAUGCACUGCCUAAUUAGGUAUAUGUUGGAACCAGACCCUGACAAAAGGCCGGAUAUUUACCAGGUUUCCUACUUCUCAUUUAAACUACUCAAGAAAGAAUGCCCAAUUCCAAAUGUACAGAACUCUCCCAUUCCUACAAAGCUCCCUGAACCAGUGAAAGCCAGUGAGGCAGCUGCAAAGAAGACCCAGCCAAAGGCCAGACUGACAGAUCCCAUUCCCACUACAGAGACGUCAAUUGCACCCCGCCAGAGGCCUAAAGCUGGGCAGACUCAGCCCAACCCAGGAAUCCUCCCCAUCCAACCAGCCCUGACCCCUCGGAAGAGGGCCACAGUUCAGCCCCCACCUCAAGCCGCAGGAUCCAGCAAUCAGCCUGGUCUUUUAGCCAGUGUUCCUCAACCAAAAACGCAGCCCCCACCCAGUCAACCGCUACCACAGUCUCAGCCCAAGCAGCCUCAGGCUCCUCCCACCUCACAGCAGCCGCCUUCCACACCAGCCCAGGCUCUGCCCACCCAGGCCCAGGCCACACCCCAGCACCAGCAGCAACUCUUCCUCAAGCAGCAGCAGCAGCAGCAGCAGCAGCAGCAGCAGACAGCGCCAUCUGCACAGCAGCCAGUGGGCACGUUCUACCAGCAGCCGCAGCAGCAGGCCCAGGCUCCGCAGUUUCAGGCAGUACACCCAGCAGCCCAGCAACCAGUGAUCGCUCAGUUCCCUGUGGUAUCUCAAGGAAGCUCUCAACAGCAGCUGAUACAAAACUUCUACCAGCAGCAGCAGCAGCAACAGCAGCUGGCCACAGCCCUGCAUCAACAACAGCUGCUGACUCAGCAGGCUGCCUUGCAGCAGAAGACGACAGUGGCGGCUGUACCGCAGCCCCAAGCACAGCCGGCCACAGCAGCCUCGCCAGCCCCUGCCCAGGAGCCAGCGAUUCAGGCCCCAGUAAGACAACAGCCGAAGGUUCAGACAACCCCACCUCCUACCAUCCAGGGGCAGAAACUUGGAUCUCUCACUCCUCCAUCAUCCCCCAAGGCCCAGCGUGCUGGGCACAGGCGAAUUCUCAGCGAUGUGACCCACAGCGCAGUCUUUGGGGUCCCUGCCAGCAAAUCAACCCAGCUGCUCCAAGCAGCUGCAGCUGAGGCCAGUCUCAAUAAGUCCAAGUCUGCAACCACCACUCCUUCAGGCUCCCCUCGGGCCUCCCAGCAAAAUGUUUAUAAUCCUUCAGAAGGUUCUACGUGGAAUCCCUUUGAUGACGACAAUUUCUCCAAACUCACAGCUGAAGAACUGCUAAACAAGGACUUUGCCAAGCUGGGGGAAGGCAAAUAUCCUGAGAAGCUUGGAGGCUCUGCUGAGAGUUUGAUCCCAGGCUUUCAACCAACCCAAGGUGAUGCUUUUGCUGCUCCCUCAUUUUCCGCUGGAACUGCUGAAAAAAGGAAGGGUGGGCAGACUGUGGAUUCUAGCCUUCCUCUUCUAAGUGUAUCUGAUCCUUUCAUUCCUCUUCAAGUACCUGAUGCACCAGAAAAACUAAUUGAGGGACUCAAAUCUCCUGACACUUCUCUUCUGCUCCCUGACCUCUUGCCUAUGACAGAUCCUUUUGGUAGCACUUCUGAUGCUGUAAUUGAAAAAGCUGACGUUGCUGUUGAGAGUCUGAUACCAGGACUGGAGCCCCCGGUGCCUCAGCGCCUCCCAUCUCAGACGGAAUCUGUGACCUCGAACCGUACAGAUUCUCUCACCGGGGAAGAUUCCCUGAUUGAUUGCUCUCUGCUUUCUAACCCCACUACUGACCUUCUGGAAGAGUUUGCCCCCAUAGCCAUCUCUGCUCCGGCCCAUAAAGCUGCGGAAGAUAGUAAUCUCAUCUCAGGUUUUGAUGUCCCUGAGGGCUCGGACAAGGUGGCAGAAGAUGAGUUUGACCCUAUUCCUGUAUUGAUAACCAAAAACCCACAAGGUCUCCAGAGAGAGCCCAUUCCCUCUCCUGUAAUAACUGUAGAGCACUUUAAAGAAUCGACGGGUGUUAAAGGCCUUCCCCUGUACCCGGACCCCUCCCGGGUACCUGGCACGAAAACUCAGAACAGUCUAGAAUCUGACUACUUGGCCCGAGAUGGCCCUUCCAGCAACAGUUCGUUCCACAGCAGUGAAGAGGAGGGGACCGACCUCGAGGGGGACAUGCUGGACUGCAGUGGCUCUCGCCCUCUGCUCUUGGAGUCGGAGGAAGAGGAUGAGAGCUGCAAGCCUCCGCAGGGGAAGCUAGGAGGAGCCACUCCCUUCACUCAGCCGGAGGUCACUUCCGCGCAGGCCAAGGCCUCGCAAGGUGGGAGGAAGAACCAAUUCGGAGCCCUCACCCAGCCGACCGCUGAUGGACUCGGUGAGCCAGAUGUGUUUGCCACUGCUCCCUUCCGGAGUUCAAGGAUUCCCGCUGAUGACAUUUUUGCCAAAGCCCCCUUUGUCUCCAAGGGCAACGUGGCCCUUUCCCAGCCAGAGGAGACGGAUGUGUUCUUGAGAGCUCCCUUUACCAAGAAGAAAGGCAUGGAGGAGUCAGCAGUUGCCCAGAGCCCCGCCCAGGAGCAGCCCGGUCUCCUCAGUCAGACCGAUGACAUCCCUCUGCUCCCAGGCCUGGAUCGAGCCGUGUACCCGUCCGCCCGAGCUCAGUAUUCCACUGCUGGCUUUGCCCAGCCGUCUAACCUCCCCUCCCAUCCUGUACAAGCAGCAGACCAUCUUGACAGCAUCUCUUCCAGGGGCUCUUCCCUGGAAUCUGGGGCCCAUCCUAAUGACAGAAACAAAGGACCUCAGCCCCAGAAAGAAGCUGUCUCAGGCCCCGUGGCAGGCAAACCAUUCCGCCCCCAGUCUUUAUCCAAAUAUUCCCGUCACUAUAGCCCGGAAGAUGAGCCGAAUCCAGAAGCCCAGCCCAUUGCUGCCUACAAAAUUGUUUCGCAAACCAAUAAGCAGUCGAUAGCUGGCUCCGUUUCCAUCACAUCCCUUGCCUCCAGGACUACGGAGCUGCCAGCUGCUGAUCCUUUUGCUUUAGCACCCUUUCCUUCAAAGUCAGGCAAACAGAAACCUUAGGAGCCAUGCCUGAGCCUCAGGCCUCUGUCUCUACCCUACCCUCAAUACCCACCACAUCACUCCCAGCUGAGCCUUCCUGAGAAGAUUUAUAUCAAUUAUUCUCUUUCAGUUCCGUGAGUCAGAGCAGAACUUCUUGAGUCAACAAACUCAGUCGAGGUGAUACUUAGUUGAAACUCCCUUAAGUUAUGCUCAUUGCUUUUGUUUAUAUUGAUUUCUGGACUUUGGGUGAGUGUGUCCAUCUUCACCUCCACCCAGAACUCUGCUUUCUGUUGUGUGCCUAGAAACUGUUUUAAUCUCAAACUGCUUGUCAGUAAAUCCAGAAAUAACUUCCCGAAGGGGCCAUGGUAUUGCUACUUUGAUUCCUGUAGUUCCUGUUCUGAGUCAUGUCUAAUGAGGAAUUAAGAUGAGUUCCUCCCAGACUUGGUUUCAUACUCUUGAAAAGGGUACAUUUCAGGAAAGAAACACAAGAUAAAAAUUCUGCUCAUCAAAAGGAAGUGUGAUCCUGAAGAUACUAAUCAUUCCUCUAAAACCAGCAACUCUAGAAAGCUUCUCUGGAUCUGAGUCUGUAGGCCACCCUGGUCCUCAUGCGUGAGUGUCGGUGGGUGUGUAAUGUGUGUUAGAUCCUUACCUUUGUAGAGAUGCAAACAUGAGAUUUCUGUGCUGGUGUCUGAUAGUGUGGAGCCUUCUCCCACGUGCACACUUUAAAAAUUCAUGUGAGUGCACAGCUGUGUGUGUACACUUCUGUUUGCACAGGAAACGUUCUUCCUUUAGGUAAAUCCUGUCCCACCUCGCGUACCUCCACAAUCACUCAUUUGCUGGUAUUUGUUCUCCUAACCUAACUUACGUGAACCCUGUUUUUAUUGCAUUCUUUUCUCAUGGCAAAAUUUAAUUUAUUGGAAUGAGUAGGAAAAUCCUGCUGGAAUGCAAUUUUCUAAGUAGAUUGUUUUUUCCUUUAGAAUUUGCUAUUAACAUUUCAUUUACAAAGUCUUGAAAAAUUAAC